ACAAAGCAUUGCGAUGGUC
rnacentral:snRNA from 1 species